GCUGGCGACCAUAGCAAGAGUGAACCACCUGAUCCCUUCCCGAACUCAGAAGUGAAACCUCUUAGAGCUGAUGGUAGUGUGGGAUUACCCAUGUGAGAGUAAGUCAUCGCCAGCU
rnacentral:rRNA from 1 species